rfam:Elusimicrobia bacterium RIFOXYC2_FTLL_34_12 rifoxyc2_full_scaffold_1881, whole genome shotgun sequence.
GCCGGGAUGGCGGAAUUGGUAGACGCAAGGGACUUAAAAUCCCUCGCUCUGUAUGGAGCAUGCCGGUUCAAGUCCGGCUCCCGGCA